UGCCAGACUCCUACGGGAGGCAGCAGUGGGGAAUAUUGCACAAUGGGGGAAACCCUGAUGCAGCGACGCCGCGUGAGCGAUGAAGUAUUUCGGUAUGUAAAGCUCUAUCAGCAGGGAAGAAGAUGACGGUACCUGACUAAGAAGCCCCGGCUAACUACGUGCCAGCAGCCGCGGUAAUACGUAGGGGGCAAGCGUUAUCCGGAUUUACUGGGUGUAAAGGGAGCGUAGACGGCGAUGCAAGCCAGAUGUGAAAGCCCGGGGCUCAACCCCGGGACUGCAUUUGGAACUGUGUGGCUGGAGUGUCGGAGAGGCAGGCGGAAUUCCUAGUGUAGCGGUGAAAUGCGUAGAUAUUAGGAGGAACACCAGUGGCGAAGGCGGCCUGCUGGACGAUGACUGACGUUGAGGCUCGAAAGCGUGGGGAGCAAACAGGAUUAGAUACCCCUGUAGU
rnacentral:rRNA from 1 species